GACGAACGCUGGCGGCGUGCCUAAUACAUGCAAGUAGGACGCACAGUUUAUACCGUAGCUUGCUACACCAUAGACUGUGAGUUGCGAACGGGUGAGUAACGCGUAGGUAACCUGCCUAUUAGAGGGGGAUAACUAUUGGAAACGAUAGCUAAUACCGCAUAACAGUAUGUAACACAUGUUAGAUGCUUGAAAGAUGCAAUUGCAUCGCUAGUAGAUGGACCUGCGUUGUAUUAGCUAGUAGGUAGGGUAAUGGCCUACCUAGGCGACGAUACAUAGCCGACCUGAGAGGGUGAUCGGCCACACUGGGACUGAGACACGGCCCAGACUCCUACGGGAGGCAGCAGUAGGGAAUCUUCGGCAAUGGGGGGAACCCUGACCGAGCAACGCCGCGUGAGUGAAGAAGGUUUUCGGAUCGUAAAGCUCUGUUGUUAAGGAAGAACGAGUGUGAGAAUGGA
rnacentral:rRNA from 1 species